rnacentral:lncRNA from 1 species
AGGACUCUAAAGUGCGAUGGUACUCUUAAGUGCGAUGGUCACGCUAAAGUGCACUGGUAUACGCUAAAGUACGAUGGUGUAUCACGCUAAAGUACGAUGGUGUAUCACGCUAAAGUGCGAUGGUUGUUUGUUUGCUAAAGUACGAUAGAGUCUCACGCUAUUUAAAGUGCGAUGCAUCAUGGAUCAAAGCAUAAUGUAAAAGCGCUUAAAACGUUAAAUAUCACGGAUGUUAAUAAAUUGUCUUUUUGCAAAAGCUAGUAUGCUAAGGCUUUAUUUAUAACGUACUUACAUGUAGGCUUUCAAUGAUAAUGAUCCGGUAGGCUUACGUGAUUGUUUCUGAAUUUAAUAGACUGACCACGUGAUAAUUAUUAAAAUGGUAAUUUAGGAGUGACAAACAUCUAUAUAUCCUAUGUUUGAUUUUUUUUAAAUUGGGGCGUAUCAAAUAUUUUGAUAAUUAGCGCAGCUUGCAGUUCACAUGUAGUCUAUCCCUUAUGUGAACAUCUCCCUUAAAGUCGUCAUUGUAACUUACAAAUACAAAUUUCGUUCAUUGUGUAACAUUUAUUUGUUUAAAUCGUAAUUUAAAUGAGAGGAAAAUGCAAUGUUCUCCGAACUUUCUCUUUUUUUCGCAGCGAGUACAAAUACAGGUUGUAUUUUCCUACAAUGUACAAAAUAAUGUUUUAGCGGACAAUUUAUGAUUUACGCAUGAAAACAUGUACCUUUAUUUUACCGACUUUAAUUUUUAAUAAAAUCGACAAUAUUUUAACAGGGACCGACAAAGCACGGUUAGAUUUGAAAAUUAAGUAAGGCAUGGACGUUUUGUUUAAAGUUUUUAAUCAAAUAUUCUACAUUUAUUUUUCGGCAUGCAUGUUCAUUUUCUUUUUUAUAAACGACUGUUCACAUCAUA